UGGGGAAUAUUGGACAAUGGGCGAAAGCCUGAUCCAGCAACGCCGCGUGAGGGAUGACGGCCUUCGGGUUGUAAACCUCUUUCAGCAGGGACGAAGCGCAAGUGACGGUACCUGCAGAAGAAGCACCGGCCAACUACGUGCCAGCAGCCGCGGUAAUACGUAGGGUGCGAGCGUUGUCCGGAAUUAUUGGGCGUAAAGGGCUCGUAGGCGGUCUGUCGCGUCGGGAGUGAAAACUCAGGGCUUAACCCUGAGCCUGCUUCCGAUACGGGCAGACUAGAGGUAUGCAGGGGAGAAUGGAAUUCCUGGUGUAGCGGUGAAAUGCGCAGAUAUCAGGAGGAACACCAGUGGCGAAGGCGGUUCUCUGGGCAUUACCUGACGCUGAGGAGCGAAAGUGUGGGGAGCGAACAGG
rnacentral:rRNA from 1 species